rnacentral:precursor_RNA from 15 species
AAUAUUCCAACGACCGGUGGGUUUUUAGCAAGUAGAAUAGCAGGCUUAUCACAGGUUCCUUUAACCCACUGUGAGAUUCUUCUAUUCUACUUUCGAGAAACACCCGUAAACACCGAUCUCCUG